rnacentral:rRNA from 1 species
CACGUAGGGGGCAAGCGUUGUCCGGAUUUAUUGGGCGUAAAGAGCUCGUAGGUGGUUCGGUAAGUCAGGUGUGAAACCUCCAGGCUCAACCUGGAGACGCCACUUGAUACUGCUGUGACUGGAGUCCGGUAGGGGAGCGGUGGAAUUCCUGGUGUAGCGGUGAAAUGCGCAGAUAUCAGGAGGAACACCAGCGGCGAAGGCGGCGCUCUGGGCCGGUACUGACACUGAGGAGCGAAAGCGUGGGUAGCAAACAGG